rnacentral:lncRNA from 1 species
GCCGCCCUGGGUGGGACCUUGCUUCCCCGAGCUGAGGCGGCGGGUCCCCCGAGGAGGCAGCCGUUCAACUGCACCCCCUCCUGCCCGAGCACCAGUUCGGCGCUUCAGUGAUAGCUCAGGUUCCCUCACCCCACCCGGACACCGGCCUCCUCACCGGACACCCCCUCCACCACUGCUGCUGCCAAGGUCUCACAGUGACCCAGGCAUUACCACCUCCAGCGACAUCGCUGACUUCAGGGACCUUUAUACCAAAGUGCUUGAGGAAGAAGCUGCCUCCAUCUCCUCUGCAGACACAGGUCAGGCGUGUGGGUAGGCAGCUGAAGGGCAUGGUGCCACUGGGUAGCCCACACACAUUUCUUGCUUUUUCUCAGCAGGGCUCUGCUCUGAAGCCUGCCUUUUCCGCCUAGCCCGCUGCCCUUCCCCCAAGUUGCUACGUGCUCACUCAGCUGAGAAACGCCGCCCAGUGCCCACCUUCCAGAAGGUUCCUCUGCCUUCAGGUCCUGCACCUGCCCACUCUCUAGGAGACCUGAAAGGAAGCUGGCCAGGCCGGGGCCUGGUCACUCGUUUCCUCCAGCUGUCUAGGAAGUCCCCAGACCCUGCAGGAACUGGAGCCCACGGACAUAAGCAAGUGCGCAGGAGCCCAUGGGGACGACCAGGUCGGGAGAGCCUCCACCUUCGCAGCUGUGGUGAUUUGAGCUCUGGCUCCUCCUUAAGGCGACUCCUGUCUGCCCGCAGGCUGGAGCAUGGCAUACGCCCACA